rnacentral:lncRNA from 1 species
CGGCGGGGCGCUGAGCUGCUUGCUCGGGGACGAGCACGGGAGGCAGGGAGCUGGGGCAUUGCGGGAACGAGAGGAGAGGUGCUCGGGGACGUGGGGGCUGCUGAUGUUGUCGCCGGUGGCGUGGACGGGCAAGGCGACGGGGAGGCGCUCGGUGCUCACGAUCCAUUCGGGAUCGAGCAGAGGAGGGAAGAGGAGGAUCGAGCAGAGGAGGGAAAUGGAGGCACGGCCUCGGGCGCUUGUUGGAGGGAGAUGGAUCUGGGAGGAUCCCGAGGUGGGAUUUGAGUGUGGCGGCGGCGGAGUAGGAAUUUUAGGGAGUUGGUCUAGGGUUUGUCCAAAUAGGCAUGUGGGUGGACUAGAUGUAGACUAUAUAUAUGGAAAAGGAGGGGAGUUGGAUCAUCCGAUCAAAAUUCGACGGUUGAGAAUAGAUAGGCUAGGAAAGUCUAAAUAAGAAAUGGAGAUGUUUUAUGGAUGUUUGGUGAUGAUCUGGACCCAACGGUGAUAACUGAGCGGGUCGGGUUCGGGACAGGUUUCAGACACGCGCGAGAAGGGGUUUUGUGCAUUGUGCAGAGAGGCUCAGACGGUCGGACAACAAAAGAACGGUUGGUCUCGAAGGGACAAGGAAGGCAACAGGGAGAAGCGGGAACUACGAACGGACCAUGAGUUUAAUAAAACAUGCAGAUGCAAUGCAUAUGAUGUGAUGAUGAAUGCAACAAACAAAUAAAUACACACGGCGAACACGAAAUAUAAGGAAGGCGUCUGGAGCAUCGGUCUCGGGGCGUUACAACACUCCACCACUACAAGAGGAUCUCGUCCCGAGAUCUAAGGACGGCACCGGAGAAAAGCGGACGAGGGAGAGAAGAGGUAAAGCUAAGUUGCUUCUUUGACAAACGAGUGAAACCACGAACCUUGAGAGAUUGAACGAACGAAAAGAGAGAAUACAAGGGAGAUGAACAAGAUUGAAAACACUCCGUUAUCAAAGAGGAACAUGGAACAUUGUGAGAACCUUUGUAGGUUGAAAGACAUGAAAUAAGAGCUUAACGGAUCAAAAUUAAUAUGAAAGCACACCGGUAGAAAAGAGAAACAAGGAACAAGAAUGACAUAAUUUGGACAACACUCCGAUAGAAAAUGGAAGGAAUUAACAUGAACUUGAGAAGAUGGGAUGAUACUUGAUGAAAUCAACAACACUCUGCCUCCGGAACUAUUGAAAACGAGAAGGAAAACUUGAUAAGAUGAAAAGAAAUUGAGGAGAUGACACAACACUCCGGUUAAAUGGUUAGCAAGGAAAGAAGAUGAUCUUGACAAAACAAGAAGAUGGGUCGAAGAGAGCAAUAUCACAAUGCCUCUGGAAGAAAUAAAUAAUAGAAGAUAGAUCCUUGGAAUAAAGAAUGGAGAAGAAAAUGACAACUUCUGCCAUAAAUGAGCUUGGAAAGCAUCCUUCCAAGAAGGUUAUAACGGAGUUGUUGGGAAAUCAACAACGAAAAGAACAAGCUUGUUGUGGGCUUAUGGAACACAUCUCAAAAUUAUGAGGUGACAACCUGCCACUAACGGAAACAAUUGCUUGCUUGAGAUCAACGAAGAGAUGAAAACUUCUCUCGCCAAGAGGAUAGGAGAAAACUUGGAUCAUUGAUAGACACCACAAUUAGCAACAUUCCUUAGGGAAGACUUUAGGUGAAACAUGACACAAGAUAAAUCCAACGAAGAGAUUGGUGGAUUUAAAAUAUCUCAUUCUUGACAACAUGUGAAUCAUGAAAUGCGAACUCAAAUUGUCAAGAAUGACAUAACACCACCUCAAAUGAUAAGGUAGAAUGAAUUGCACUUUAGAAUGCAAGAUGAAGAAUGGUUGAACUCCUCAAAACAGAACAUGUGUUGAACACCAUGUUUAUCUUUGAGUAUAGCUUGGCGGAUCAUAACUUCGAGAGAAUUCUUGAAGAACAAUUGAAGAAUGAAUGGAAUACUUGAUGAGCCACCAUGUUGAUCCUCCAUGAAGAACUCCGAUAAUAAAAGAAUGAUCAAACGAAAGGGAAAGUUGAAAAGAACUCCGGGAGAAGCCUUGCAAUGAUUAGAUGAAGCUUUGAAAUGAUAUAAUUGAAAUAACUUGUAGCUCCGGAAAGAAAAAUGAACAAAUGAGAUCAAGAAUUUUGAUGAAUCUCCGGAAUAAGGAAUUAAUCACUUGGACGAAACAAGAAUAAGAAUUACAUUAUGCGUAUCCUUCACCAAUUUAGAUUGAUGACAAGCAACGGAUUUGGCAUACUACUUAUUCUCAUAGAAAGGAUUAAGAUAGAUAUAGCGCAAACUUGAAUAAGGUCUUGAUGGAACCACCGGUGGGAUUUGGAAACAACAAAUGAAUUAAUAUGAUAACCAAGAAAGAGAACUCUUGAAUGAACCACCAUAAGAAUUGGAAAUGAAAGUAGAAAAGGCGCAAUUCACCGGGAAGAAUUAGAAAACGAAUAAAGAUACUUGACAGAAUUUAGAUACAUGAGAACGAAGAGAUCAUGAACUGAUUAGAGGAUAUUUGAAUGAUGCACCGGUAAGAUUUGGAGAAUGAGAUCUGAAAGCUAAGAAUGAAUAAUUCUGUGAUGAUGGGCUCCGGAGAAUCAAACUGAAAAGAGUCCUGAAAUGCUCCGGAUGCGUGAAAAGAAUUCUCACAAUCGAAAACAAUUAUGAGAGGAUGGCAUCAAGCUAGAACCCUGAAUCUUGAAGAGAAUGGAGCAAGAUUUGAGAGAAACUCUUCUUCGGUCUUCAAAUGUUGAGAAUGACGAUGAGAAACACCACCAUGAAUUGUUGGCACUCCGGAAUGAAGAAUAGAAGGUUGAACCAACGAUGAAAUAAUUUGAAAGAUAUUGGAGAAAGACAUUUGACUGAUGAUAAUUCAUUCUUAAGUCAAACUUUGCAAUGAAUUUGAUAAUAACUCCGGAAAGAAUUAGAAGAGUUAGGUAAGAUCCUGGGAAAAAACCUGUGGGUUAGGGCCCACUCAAAAGAUACACCGUUGAAUGAUUAAAAGAAAGAUUGCGCCGGUUGAAUUAAAUGGCUCAAAAGAGAUAACAAACUCGAGAUAGCUUGAACGGAUUGGGAAUGAAAUGCGAAUCUUCUGAGAUAUCUUCAGCACUCCAGAUAACAUGAAUAGCAAGAGGUGGAUGAUUAAGAGAUGCACCGACAUGAGAAAGCAUUUGAAAUGAGGAAAAGAAUACGAUCAACACUGAAAGCUUGACUUGAGUCCACCGGAGAAGAAAAAGAACGAAGAAUAAUAAACUUGAAACUCCGUUAGUAUCUUCAUGGGAAAUCACCAGAUAAAAACAUUAAAGGAAAAGAAUGAAGAAACUUCAGUCAAUAAAAUGGAUACUUGGUUAAGAAAUCUGAGUCCUUGAAGAAAAGGGUGGGAGGGUGGGAAAACAAAAGCAACUUGGGGCGGAUGGAAUAAACACCGUUGAGAAAACUUAUAAUUGAUCUUCCGGAUGGGAAGAAUGAUGGGAUUAUCUCAAAGAGAAACGCACCGGUUGGAAAUAGAAUUAAGAUGGCAAUCUCGAUGGUCAAGAAGGAUUAGUAUCCCCAUAGAAAUAUGAGAAAACCACCUAGAAUAAGGUAGGGAAUCAACACUUGACACCGAAGCAACUCGAAUACCACAAAUUAAAACAAAACAAAGGAUUGGCUUGCAGAAUAAGCCGGAACAAACAUAUAAUAGAGAUUUCGUCCGAAGUUUUCGUGGUGGGGCCCACACGGGCUCGAUCGUACAGCACCAUCAUGUGCAAGGCAGUGCACAUGACAUACGAAGCGUCCCCGAGUCGGCAUAGCCAAGGACUCUUUAAGACACUACGAGACCACUGUAAAACCAACCGUGGAAAGGCGGACCACUAGACAUCGAACCCCAAUCUCAUAUCAUGCAUCUGUCGGAAAGAUAUCCUAGGAGCUACUUGAAUUCCCACUUAUAAACUCCCGAAACUUUCUGGUUAUGCAAUCAGGUGUUGGGGAUAUAGGGGACACAAUAUAUCUAACACAAACUAACAAUACCUAGAUCCAGCUGUAUCCAUCCUUCAACACAUAACCAAGAAACCUUCGGAAAUCGUGUACCUCAACCUUCGGAAAGCAUCCGUUAUACGAGUUAUGGCAAUACUCCCGAACUCCCGCCCCAGUACUGGGUGGCGUCGAGGUGAUCUCACCAACAACUGCAUAAAAGAGAUUUUCGAUGUCGGCGAAACUCAGGUAUUCCAGAACUGCAACGAUAAAAUUGUGACGACAACACCUCGGAGCUCAACUCCUCGGGACACUGCCACACCCCUAAAUGUUAGGAGGCACCAAUAACAGUGUUCUCGUCACAAAACCAUCAGAACGAUUCCCAGAAACCCGUGUGAUCCUAAAAUUUUUUUUAGUGAAAUUUGAGGAGAGAAGAGUCAAAAUUUCUACGUCCGGAGGCCUCACCAGAGCGACGAAGGGACUGAGGAGUAAAAAGAAUCCUACUCUCCGAUAUAUAUAAUCCUAAGACUCAAAACAUUUUUGUUCUAGACUCAACAACGUCAGCGAUUCGAUCAAGUAGGGAGCUCCUAAGUCGGGGAUGGCUCUGAUUACCAACUUGUAACACCCACGAUGCGGCUAUAUCUCCUACGUGUCGAGGCACGACUUAGAGGCAUAACCGCAUUGUGGUUUUGUCGCAAGAAGGGUCAUCUUCACACAAUCCCAUGUAAUGAACAAAAAUGGAUAAAGAGUUGGCUUACAAUCGCCACUUCACACAAUACAUAAAUAAAAUCAUACAUCAAUCAGAGUAUACACAUAGGUCCGACUACGGAACCAAAAGAAAAGAAGACAACCCAAAAUGCUAGAUCCCCGAUCGUCCCAACUGGGCUCCACUACUGAUCAUCAGGAAACAAAAACAUAUUAACGACCAAGGUCCUCGUCGAACUCCCACUUGAGCUCAGUUGCGUCACAUGCACUGGUAUCAUCGGCACCUGCAACUGUUUGGAAGAAUCUGUGAGUCACGAGGACUCACCAAUCUCACACCCGCGAGAUCAAGACUAUUUAAGCUUAUGGGAAGGAUGGGGUAAUGAGGUGGAGCUGCAGCAAGCACUAAGCAUAUAUGGUGGCUAACAUACGCAAAUAAGAGCGAGAAGAGGAGCAACGGAACGGUCGUCAACUAGUAAUGAUCAAGAAGUGAUCCUGAACUCCUACUUACGUCAAACAUAACCCAAAAGCCGUGUUCACUUCCUGGACUCCGCCGAAAAGAGACCAUCAAGGCUACACACACGGUUGAUGUAUUUUAAUUAAGUCGAGUGUCAUGUUCUCUACAACCGGACAUUAAAAAAUUCCCAUCUGCCACAUAACCACGGGCACGGCUUUCGAAAGAUAAUACCCUGCAGGGGUGUCCCAACUUAGCCCAUUAUAAGCUCUCACGGUCAACGAAGGAUAUUCCUUCUCCCGGGAAGACCCGAUCAGUCUCGGAAUCCCGGUUUACAAAACAUUUCGACAAUGGUAAAACAAGACCAGCAAAGCCGCCCGAAUGUGCCGACAAAUCCCGAUAGGAGCUGCACAUAUCUCGUUCUCAGGGCACACCGGAUUGUCCAAGCUUCCGAUAGGCGAGCCCAGGGUUGCCGGUGGUGGCCACCGGCGACUGACGGGUUGGACCAACACUCAGAGGAGCACUGGCCCGGGGGUUUAAAAUAAAGAUGACCCUUGAGUCUGCAGAACCCAAGGGAAAAGGCUUAGGUAGGCAAAUCGUAAAACCAAGGUUGGGCCUUGCUGGAGGAGUUUUAUUCAAAGCGAACUGUCAAGGGGGUCCCAUAAAUCACCCAACCGCGUAAGGAACGCAAAAUCAAGGAACAUAACACCGGUAUGAUGGAAACUAGGGCGGCAAGAGUGGAACAAAACACCAGGCAUAAGGCCGAGCCUUCCACCCUUUACCAAGUAUAUAGGUGCAUGAAUGAAAAUAAGAUAUAUUGUGAUAUCCCAACAUAUCCAUGUUCCAACAUGGAACAAACUUCAUCUUCACCUGCAACUAGCAAUGCUAUAAUAGGGGCUGAGCAAAAGCGGUAACAUAGCCAAAAAACGGUUUGCUAGGAAAGGUGGGUUAGAGGCUUGACAUGGCAAUAUGGGAGGCAUGAUAUAACAAGUGGUAGGUAGCGCGGCAAAGCAAUAGAGCAAACAACUAGCAAGCAAAGAUAGAAGUGAUUUCGAGGGUAUGAUCAUCUUGCCUGAAAUCCCGCUAGGAGAAGAACGAGUCCAUGAAGAAGACAAACGGACAAAGUCGAACAAAUCCUCACAAACGCGACGUUAUCGGAACUAACCCGAAGAAGCAACACCGGAAAGAAGCAAACAACAUGAUAAACAACCAUCACAUAAACAUGGCAUGAUGCACAAUCAAGUAUGAUGCAUGUCUGGUUUAAGGAGGCAUGGCAUGGCAAAGUGCACAAACAAAACUACAAGUUAAGUGGAGCUCAAUAUGCAACGAGUUGCAUAUUGACAAAACACCACAUCAAUUAUUUAGUUCUCUCUCAUUUAUAUACCCAACAAUAUUAAAUGUUGAUUAACAUGGCAAGAGGUGAAGCAUAAGUAAACUAACUAUUUAAGCAAGUUAAAUGAGGCCGGAAACUAUAAACAACAAUUCCGGAAAAUCCUCAUAUGCAUAUUUUGGAAUUGGUACUGUUCUGGCCUAAACCAUAUUUUAGAGAUGUUAAACAUGCAAGAUGAGUGCACCAUGUUAAACUAGGCAUUUUUCUACCCCAUUUACAUAUCAAGUUUAUUAAAAUCCGAGCUACGGUUAUUUAGUUAUGAAAUAAAUCAUUUUAACAUGGCAUUUGAGCAAAUUUAAUCAAACAGCAAUUUAGACAUUUUAAACAUGGAUGAGAGUGGCAUAAUGUGAAACUAGACAGAAUUCUAAGCAUUUUACAUAUUAAAAUCAUUUUAAACCGAUGCACCAUUUGUGAGUUAUUAAAUGCAUGAUCUAGAGGGACUUUUCUGUAAAUCUGUAAACUCCUGGAUAAUAGCUAAAUUCGCAGAUCUGAAAAAAAAACCUACACAGGCCGAAACUGAAACUGGAGCAGACCCAACAGUAAAAAAACAAGAGGCGCUGGGGGGUGGCCUCACCAUGGGCCUUGGCCCGGUCGGUGGAGAGGUGAGGCCGGCAGGGGGCUGCGUUGGGCCGGAGGUGGGACACGGCCAGGAGGGGCCAGGCGCGGCGCUGGCACCAGGUCGUGGCAGGAGCCAGGCGCGGCGGCAGCUUGGUCUCCGGCGGCGGAGCGACGACCUGGAGGCAGGGACGAGGCCGGGUUGCAGGGACUCAUCGGAUCUGACGGAGACUGCGACGAACGGAGUAGGGCCGUGGCGGAAACUGCAAGGCCAUGAUGGGGGAAAAUUCAGAGAAGAUACAGAGGGAGGAAAAGAAAUAGAAGGAGAGGAGAAGGGGGUGCGCGCGGCGGAGGAGCUCACCGGCGGCUUGGCUGCUCUGGGCAGGGCUCGAGUAGCUCCAUGGGGAGAGGAGAUCCAAGGGCGGCGGAGCUCGACGUGGAGGCCUGCGGUGGCUUCCAUGGCACGGGGAGCACCUGUACAGAGAAGAGAGAGGAUGGAUGAGAGGCAGAGGAAGCCACGGGAGGGAGGAGGAACAAGGGAGAGAGCGACGACGCUCAUCUGUUCGUUCAGCGGGGGCCGGCGGGGCGCUGAGCUGCUUGCUCGGGGACGAGCACGGGAGGCAGGGAGCUGGGGCAUUGCGGGAACGAGAGGAGAGGUGCUCGGGGACGUGGGGGCUGCUGAUGUUGUCGCCGGUGGCGUGGACGGGCAAGGCGACGGGGAGGCGCUCGGUGCUCACGAUCCAUUCGGGAUCGAGCAGAGGAGGGAAGAGGAGGAUCGAGCAGAGGAGGCAAAUGGAGGCACGGCCUCGGGCGCUGGUUGGAGGGAGAUGGAUCUGGGACGAUACCGAGGUGGGAUUUGAGUGUGGCGGCGGCCGAGGAGGAAUUUUAGGGAGUUGGUCUAGGGUUUGUCCAAAUAGGCAUGUGGGUGGACUAGAUGUAGACUAUAUAUAUGGAAAAGGAGGGGAGUUGGAUCAUCCGAUCAAAAUUUGACGGUCGAGAAUAGAUAGGCUAGGAAAGUCUAAAUAAGAAACGGCGAUGUUUUAUGGAUGUUUGGUGAUGAUCCGGACCCAACGGUGAUAACUGAGCGGUCGAAUUCGGGACAGGUUUCGGACGCGCGCGAGAAGGGGUUUUGUGCAUUGUGCAGAGAGGCUCAGACGGUCGGACAACAAAAGAACGGUUGGUCUCGAAGGGACAAUGAAGGCAACAGGGAGAAACGGGAACUAUGAACGGACCACAAGUUUAAGAAAACAUGCGGAUGCAAUGCGUAUGAUGUGAUGAUGAAUGCAACAAACAAA